rnacentral:rRNA from 1 species
UCGAGAAUUUUUCACAAUGGACGAAAGUCUGAUGGAGCGACGCCGCGUGGAGGAUGAAGGUUUUCGGAUUGUAAACUCCUGUCACUGCAGAACAAGGUUACGCCAGUUAACAGCCGGCGUAAUUGAUGGUAUGCGGAGAGGAAGGGACGGCUAACUCUGUGCCAGCAGCCGCGGUAAGACAGAGGUCCCGAGCGUUGUUCGGAUUCAUUGGGCGUAAAGGGUGUGUAGGAGGUUGGGUAAGUCAGGUGUGAAAUCUCAGAGCUUAACUCUGAAACUGCGCUUGAUACUGCUCGGCUAGAGGAUCGGAGGGGGUAACGGAAUUCAUGGUGUAGCAGUGAAAUGCGUAGAUAUCAUGAGGAACACCGGUGGCGAAGGCGGUUACCUGGAAGAUUCCUGACUCUGAAACACGAAAGCCAGGGGAGCAAACGGGAUUAGAUACCCCUGUAGUCC